CCUCCCUCUGGUGCGGAGGCUCCUGGCCCGGGUCCCUGAGCCCAGGCGGGUGCAGGCGGAGGACGCAGGAGGCGUGAGGUCACGUCUCCCUUGAGCCCCGCGCUGCGGGCUUUUCCGAGCCUCGCCACGAGCGGGCGGCCAGAGUCCCCGACCGCGCUGACGGUGCGCCCCUCCGGCCUCUCCCAUGUCUCAGUACGGCCCCAGCUCGGACUUCAAGAGGGCUUUGGACAGCAGUCCCGAGGCCAACACUGAGGAUGACAAGACGGAGGAGGACGUGCCCAUGCCCAAGAACUACCUGUGGCUCGCCAUCGUCUCCUGUUUUUGCCCCGCGUAUCCCAUCAACAUCGUGGCUUUCGUCUUCUCCAUCAUGUCUCUGAACAGCUACAACGAUGGGGACAUCGAAGGAUCCAAGCGUCUCGGGAGGAACGCCAAGUGGGUGGCCAUUGCCUCCAUCAUCAUCGGCCUUCUCAUCAUCGCUAUUUCCUGUGCAGUACACUUCACGAGGAAUUUCAUGGACACAUAUCUGAUGCUUCGUCAGUCAAACUUCCUUUGCAGCAAAACCAGUUGACAAAGCUUGAGUGUGAGGGAGAGAAGUGUUGUCUUCCACAAAAAUGACAGAUGACAUCAGAGCCUGAGCAGCCAGCAGUCAGCCACACGCAAGGAGGAUUGACCUCAUCGGCAUACCCCACCAAAGGAGUUUCUGAGGAAUGGAUCUUUGACUUCGGACUGUGAGAUCUUUCCCUCCUGGACUCUCCAGAGGCAGGUCCCUGGCAAAUGAACUACAAAAAAAGAAGUCCAAAAUUUAGGAAAACCAAGCAGCACAGCCAGAUCAGCCAGUCACUGGGUUUUCUUAAAAAAGGAAAAAGAAAAAAAAAAUCAAUCUCACUGAGUUUAGAAAAGGCCUUUGUGUCCAUUCUCCUUCUCCAGCAGCAAGCCUCAGUAAGUCUCAUUACUGUAAUUGGAGGGCGGGGCCUGGAAUUAGUGGGAGAGGGCGAUUCUAGGAAGAGCAGUGGAUGCUGGUGUUUGCAACGUGGAGCAUAUUUAAAGUUAUCUAAUAGAGUUGAAUUUGUGCAUUUCUUCCUUGUAUUUUUACAUGUUGUACCUCCAUUUCAGUCUCCAGUAGGUCCUCCUCCAUCAGAACCCCAGCAGAGUUCACCCAUUCUGUCACCAAAGAAACACAUGCAGGGGCUUGCUGGCUUUUUGUCCCCAUCUCACUCUUCCUAAGUGUCCCCCUCCCUUGCUCACAUCCACCACUGGUUCCCUCACUUUUCACUCAAACAGACCCUGAGUAUGUUCUUAGUGGUCAAUUCCAGGCACAUAAGCACCUUCCCCAAUCCCAGUUUUGGGAAUUAACUGGCUGUAUUUAGGGAAUGUGUUUUUUUUCAAUCUCUCUCUCUCUCUCUCUCUCUCUCUCUCUCUCUCUCUCUCUCUCUCUCUCUCUCUUUCUCUCUCUCUCUCUCUCCUUUUAGCAAGUCUCAGGCAAGAUCUUUGAUUUUCCUGGAUGCCACCUGGAAAUGCCACCUAUUGUAUUACUUUUGUGACAAAUGUAAACUCCUUAGGUGUUUAAUUGGUUUAAUGAAACCGUUAUUCCGCCUGCCAGAACACGCUAAUCCGGUGUUUCACACUGGUGAUACACAAGAUAAUUUUUAAGACGUUUACAGACACAAUAUUAAGUGACACUAAACCACCAACUCUGUUUCUCCUUUUCUAUUCUUUUUCAAUCCUGCUUACAGCAAGGAGAAUGUCUCUUUAAUGCUCCUGGGACCUUAACACCAUCCUGAUACUUUGGUUCUUUUGCCUCUUAAUAAAGGAAGAGCAGGCCUCGGGUUCAAAAUCUUCUGUCUAGAUAGAAUUUAAUAACAUGGUUUUGUUUUUGUUGUAUUUGUCUUAUUAUUUAACUUCCUUUUAUAGUUUCCACUUAGGGAUGUGAUAUAUUGUUCCUGUUCAAACAAAAUUUACUUAGGAAAAGUAAGUGGACUUAAAGAAAAUAUCAACUGGUUAACAAAACAGGUGAUAUGUAUAUAUGGCGAAAAUAACUUGAAGAACCAAUGUUAGAAACACAGUGAUAUUGAACUUGCAAGAGAAAAGGAAGCUUAUUCUAGGGGGAUAAACAUGAGGCUGAGACAAAACACCUGAGUUCUAAUGCCCUUUUUUGCCACCAACUAGGAUGCAAGCUGAUUAUAGGCAAGUUUCUUAGCUUCUCUCUGCCUCAAAUUUCUUCAUCUGGAAUAUAAAGAUAAGAACACCUGCCUACUUUUCUCAGCAUUGUUAUGAGAAUUAAUCGUCAUAAUAGAUGUGAAUGCCCCUGGCGGGAAAUUCUCAGUGCUACACAAAUACAAAGCAUUGUUCUUAGAUUAUUAUGCAUCUCAGGCAUUUGCUAAAAUCCUGGACCCUAGCAAAAAAAUAAAUAAACAUUGAUGGACAGGAGAUGCCACCUGUCAUUUCACCUGGAGGUCCAUCAUGAGCCAGCAGUUGUCCCAGGGAGGAAAUUGAAUCAGGGUCACGAAUCCUCAGCACACAGAGAUCCUAGCGUCAUUCCAGUAUAUUUGAUCCUGAUUUCUGUUUCAGACAUCUUAUUUUUUGUUUGUUUGUGUUUAGGUCCCUGAUCGUUUUACCCAAAUCAAAUAACAAGUGUUGCUGAGAGGCAGAAUAAAAAUGGUUUUAAGUAAGCCUUUA